UAGAGUUUGAUCCUGGCUCAGGACGAACGCUGGCGGCGUGCUUAACACAUGCAAGUCAAGGGGGCCCAGCAAUGGGCAACCGGCGAACGGGUGCGUAACACGUGAGCAACCUACCGAACUGUGGGGGAUAGCCGGCCUAACGGCCGAGUAAUACCGCAUACGCUUUCAUUGAGGCAUUUCAGUGAAAGGAAGCCUACGGGACGGAUCGAGGGGCUCGCGGCCUAUCAGCUAGUUGGCGAGGUAACGGCUCACCAAGGCUACGACGGGUAGCUGGUCUGAGAGGAUGGCCAGCCACAUUGGGACUGAGAUACGGCCCAGACUCCUACGGGAGGCAGCAGUGGGGAAUCUUGCGCAAUGGCCUAACGGCUGACGCACCGACGCCGCGUGUGGGAUGAAGCUCUUCGGAGUGUAAACCACUGUUGCCCGGGACGAAUAGCUCGAUUAAUCGAGCCUGACGGUACCGGGUGAGGAAGCACCGGCUAACUCCGUGCCAGCAGCCGCGGUAAUACGGGGGGUGCGAGCGUUGUCCGGAAUCACUGGGCGUAAAGGGCGCGUAGGUGUUUGAUAAGGGUGUGGUGAAAGUCCGGGGCUCAACCCCGGAUCUGCCGUGCCGACUGUCAAACUCAAGGGCUGUAGAGCCAGACGGAAUUCCGGGUGUAGCGGUGGAAUGCGUAGAGAUCAGGAGGAAGACCGGUGGCGAAGCGGUCUGCUGGCAGUUCUGACACUGAUGCGCGACAGCGUGGGUAGCAACAGAUUAGAUCCCUGUAGUCACACGUAACGAUGGAUACUAGUGCUGGGGAGCACCUCUGGGUGCGGGCUAAC
rnacentral:rRNA from 1 species